rnacentral:rRNA from 1 species
AUUGAACGCUGGCGGCAUGCCUUACACAUGCAAGUCGAACGGUAACGGGCCUUCGGGUGCCGACGAGUGGCGAACGGGUGAGUAAUACAUCGGAACGUGCCCGAUCGUGGGGGAUAACGAGGCGAAAGCUUUGCUAAUACCGCAUACGAUCUACGGAUGAAAGCAGGGGACCGCAAGGCCUUGCGCGGCCGGAGCGGCUGCUGGCAGAUUAGUAAGUGGGUGGGGUAAAAGUUUAACAAGCCGACGAGAUGAGGCCGGCCGGAGAGGAUGAUCGGACACAAGGGGACUGAGAUACAGCACUGACGCAUAAGGGAGGCAGCAGUGGGGAAUAUUGGACGAUGGGGGCAAACCAGAUACAGCAAUUCUGGGUGCACGAAGAAGGUGUUCGGAGUGAAAAGUGCUUUAAGCAGGGAAGAAGUAAGUGACGGUACCGGAAGAAGAAGCGACGGCUAAAUACGUG